GAGUUUGAUCCUGGCUCAGAGCGAACGCUGGCGGCAUGCUUAACACAUGCAAGUCGCACGGUCAGCAAUGGCAGUGGCGGACGGGUGAGUAACACGUAGGAAUCUAUCUCUGGGUGGGGGACAACAGUGGGAAACUACUGCUAAUACCGCAUGAUACCUGAGGGUCAAAGGCGUAAGUCGCCUGGAGAGGAGCCUGCGUCUGAUUAGCUUGUUGGUGGGGUAAAGGCCUACCAAGGCUACGAUCAGUAGCUGGUCUGAGAGGAUGAUCAGCCACAUUGGGGCUGAGACACGGCCCAAACUCCUACGGGAGGCAGCAGUGGGGAAUAUUGGACAAUGGGCGAAAGCCUGAUCCAGCAAUGCCGCGUGUGUGAAGAAGGUCUUCGGAUUGUAAAGCACUUUUGGCAGGGACGAUGAUGACGGUACCUGCAGAAUAAGCCCCGGCUAACUUCGUGCCAGCAGCCGCAGUAAU
rnacentral:rRNA from 1 species